AAAUUUAGCAGUGGUCUGAUAGUUUGAUAGGGACCAAAAGCCUCCUAUAUACCAGACUGGUUUAAAAAUUUGUUCCCUUUCAUAUACAAAGAUCCAGUUAUUUUUUCUACUUGAUAACAGAAGAAUGGUUGAUGCAACCAUAUCUUUUGCAAUUGAAAAGCUUGGUGAUUUUAUUGCCCAAGAAGUUAGCAUUAGAAUAGGAGUGAAAGAUGGUGUAAGGUGGCUUAAAGAUGAACUGGUCUACCUCCAAUCUGCAGUAAGAUCUGCGGAACUAAGACAGGAUGAGGAGCAAAUCUGUAAUUGGGUAAACAAUGUAAGAGACGUCGCCCAUGAUGCAGUAACUAUCCUGCGUGAUUUUAAUGCUCUGCAGCAAGAACAGGCAGCUGUAAAACAAGGUGUCUUGGAUUGUUUUCGGGGCUGUGUUUGCAUGUACAAGAAAGAAGUUAAGCUUUAUGAUAUUGGCAAGGAUAUCGAGUCACUCAAGGAAAGAAUAGUUGUGAUCAAGAACAGGAGAAUUGAGUAUGGUAUUGACAACAUCUUAUCCACUCCAAACGUGCAGAAGAAACAGAGAACGCUGCUCAGAACAACCGCUAUUCUUCACCAGGUUGAUGUGGUCGGUUUUAAAGAUGAUUUCAAGACUUUGAUGGCUGAACUGGAUAGCGAGGAUCCUUCCCUCAAAGUCAUUUCCAUUCAUGGAAUGGGAGGGUUGGGCAAGACUUCACUUGCCACCAAGUUGUUCAACUCUGGCGAGUUGAGAUAUUUUGACACCCGUGCUAAGGUUUGUGUAUCCAACGAAUAUAACAUUAUUGAUGUACUGAAGAGGAUAAUAAAGUCUUUCAAGGGGCUUGAGCAUGAACAAUAUAUCUCAAACAUGGAUGAGCAUGAUUCACUGCAGUAUCUGUCAAAGUUGCUGCAAUGUGGAGGUCGCUAUUUUGCAUUGAUUGAUGAUAUAUGGGAUAUAAAAGCUUGGGAACAGAUUAAGAUUGCAUUUCCAAACCAGAAGAAUGGCAGUAGAAUUAUCAUUACAACGCGAAACAAAAUCAUUGCACAGGCGGUAGAAGACAAGUGUUUUGUCCAUCAACUCAGGUUUCUUAGGGAAGACGAGAGCUGGCAAUUAUUCUGCAAGAGAGUUGAGCCAACAUCCCUUAAUAUGGAGAAGUUAGGAAGGGAGAUGGUUGGAAAAUGUGGAGGUUUACCACUUGCAAUCGUGGUACUGAGCGGCCUAUUAGUACACAACAUGAGUUAUGAGUAUUGGUUAAAGGUGAAGGAGCAUAUCUGGAGACACUUGAAGGAAGGUGGUUCUUUUCAGAUUCAAGAAGUACUGAGCUUGAGUUAUAGUGACUUGUCACCCCAGAUGAGAGACUGUUUUCUCUACCUUGCAAAAUAUCCGGAAGACCAUGUGUUUUACCCAAGGGAAUUAAAGCUUCCAUGGAUUGCAGAGGAAUUUAUCUCAGAAGCUGAUGAAGGAGAAGGAUUAGUCCUAGAGGAUUUGGCUGAAGAUUAUCUGAAUGAGCUAAUUGAUCGCAAUUUGAUUCAGGUUGAAAGUUUGCAAUUGAAUGGACAAGCUCUGACAUGCCGAGUCCACGACCUUGUAAGAGAACUUGCCAUUAAUAUAGCAAAGGAUCACAAGUUGUUGGCUGUUUUUGACUUGAGUAAACACCAUCCAAAUCAAAUCCAGCUUCUGGAAGGACGACUGCGUCAUGUCAUUUACAAUGGCUUUGGUGUGUACUUGAACUUACUUGAGCCUAAGUUUGAUGCUUUACAUUUGCAUUCACUGACAUUGGAUAACUACAUCGGUCUAGUCGAAUUGAAAGAAAUGAAGUUGAUGUACACCAUGUUCAAAAAUCUCAAAGUGCUAGAUAUGACAAGUGUAGUUUCAGACAGGAUUCCAGAAGAAAUAGGGGAAUUAGUUUUCCUGAAGUUCUUGGGCUUAGUGGGUUGUGAGAAGCUUUCUCAGAUACUAGUAAUUCCACCAAGUAUAGGCAAGCUGAGAAGGCUACAAACUUUGAAGGGUAUGAAUUAUAAACAUUACACACUUCCCAGAGAGAUCUGUGAGCUGCAUGAGUUAAGGUAUUUAGACAUUGAAAUUAGUGGGAGCUUGAAUAUAGGUAGCCACCAAACGAAGCUCCAUACUCUCAGUUGGAUACACUACAAGCACUUGCUCCAGAUUGAUGUUGUCAAUAUCAGUAACCUCUGUACACUAUAUAUACAUAUAGAAGAAGAAGAAUAUUCUUACAGCAUGGAGUUUAUACCUAGUUUAACAAGUCUCAAAACAUUCAGCAUAUACUCUCCUUUUAAUAGUAUCCCAACAACGAAACCACUCUCAACUUGCAAUCGUCUUGAGAGUGUUACCUUAUUUGGUCCUAUGGAAGAUCCAUCAGGAUUAAUUUUUCUGCCUGAUUCAGUCAUGGAUUUGACACUGGCUGGUAGUGAGUUUAGAGAAGAUCAGAUGCGUACUUUGGGAAAUUUAUCAAAUCUUACCGCCCUUGAGUUGGAUGAGGUGUACGAAGGAGACAGAAUUGGUUGCAACCACAAGGCAUUUCCAAGUCUUCAAAUUUUAAGGUUAAGGCAUAUGCACUAUCUAGAAGAGUUGCAAGUUGAGGAUGGAGCUCUCCCUUCUCUCAAAAGCUUUCAAACAACUCAGUGUGGACGAUUGAAAAAGAUUCCUGCACCAUUGGAACGUUUAUGGAUAAAGGAUGAAUAAUCACUCCAACUCCAGAAAGCUAUUAUCUUAUUAUUGUCCUACUUUGAUCUUCCCUCUUUUCCAUGUUUAAGCCCCCGAAGCUACAAUGACUGGAAUCUGUAGGCAAUCAAAUGAAUGCGGCUUGUCAGCAGCAUAGUCACACAUUUGAUCUCGGCCUCAUUAUAAGGAAAUAUAAAUCAUGGCCUUCUGCAUCAGCACAAGCUAG